GAGUCUCCGAGCGUGGGCCGUGCCAAGAGCGCCAUUUAUGGAUGUUUCAGCAUGCUGCAUGCGAGAACAAGAUAUGUGGCCGUCUACCGAAGAGAUCCAGUGUGUUCAGCGUGGUGGAGUCGGUUGAAAUCACAGUUAAAGAAGGUUACAACUACGUAAAAACAGAGCCACUGCAGGUGCAGGCUGGUGACGUGUUGGGAUACCGUGUGAGCCACGUCACACUGGCGACAAACCCACUGACAGAUGACGCCGACCCGCUGUGCUCGGACUGGGGCUCGUCCAGUGACCGGGCUGACCCUCUGCACACUGCCGGCCCCAUGAGAAGCCG